rnacentral:rRNA from 1 species
UACGUAGGGGGCAAGCGUUGUUCGGAAUUACUGGGCGUAAAGGGCGCGUAGGCGGCACAGCAAGUCGGAAGUGAAAGCCCGGGGCUCAACCCCGGAAUGUCCUUCGAAACUGCUGAGCUAGAGUGCAGAAGAGGCAACUGGAAUUCCCAGUGUAGCGGUGAAAUGCGUAGAUAUUGGGAAGAACACCUGAGGCGAAGGCGGGUUGCUGGGCUGAC